GCAGGAUUAGCUCAGCUGGUUAGAGCGUCGUACUAAUAUACAUACCACUUGGUAUUAUAAUUGGUAAUGCGAAGGUCAUGAGUUCAAGCCUCAUAUUCUGUA